ACUUCCCGGAGUGCAGUCUGUCCUAACAGACUGAUGGCUGGUGACUUUUUAGUCACCAGCCU
rfam:Rahnella aquatilis CIP 78.65 = ATCC 33071, complete genome.